rnacentral:rRNA from 1 species
UGCGGCCUACGGGGGGCAGCAGUGAGGAAUAUUGGUCAAUGGGCGAGAGCCUGAACCAGCCAAGUCGCGUGAGGGAGUACUGCCCUAUGGGUUGUAAACCUCUUUUGUCGGGGAGCAAAAGCCGGACGUGUCCGUCUGUGAGAGUACCCGAAGAAAAAGCAUCGGCUAACUCCGUGCCAGCAGCCGCGGUAAUACGGAGGAUGCGAGCGUUAUCCGGAUUUAUUGGGUUUAAAGGGAGCGCAGGCGGAUUUUUAAGUCAGCGGUUAAAUUGUGGGGCUGAAGCCUAU